rnacentral:rRNA from 1 species
CAAUUUCUGCUCAGUCUAAGGAAGUUAGGUUGCUGUGACAUCCAGGAUGUUGGCUUAGAAGCAGCCAUCAUUUAAAGAGUGCGUAACAGCUCACUGGACGAGGAAUCUAGCGCCGAUAAUGAUCGGGAAUAAGCAGAAAACCGAAGCUGUGGACUCAAUAGCAAUAUUGAGUGGUAGGAGAGCGUUCUUGGUGCGUAGAAGCUGUACUGUAAAGUUAGGUGGAGCGCCAAGAAGUGCAUAUGUCGGCUUGAGUAACGAUUAGACAGGUGAGAAUCCUGUCCGCCAUAUAUCCAAGGUUUCCUGGGGAAGGUAAAUCCGCCCAGGGUUAGCCGGGUCCUAAGGCGAGGCCGAAAGGCGUAGUCGAUGGAAGUUAGGUUAAUAGUCCUAAGCACCUGCGUAGAUCAAUCCGUUGUGCGGAUUUCCGGAGUUCACGGCCCUGUUGGAUGGGCAGGCCCUUGUGGCCGAUGUGAGCAAAGGGAGUUCCUAGAAAAGCAGCGGUGGCGAAACAGGUCCC